rnacentral:tRNA from 1 species
UCCCUGAUGAGCCAAUGGUUAAGACUCUUGAACUCCCAAUGCAGGAGGCCUGGGUUCAAUCCCUGGUUGGGGAA